rnacentral:rRNA from 1 species
UGCGUAGGCGGUCUUUUAAGUCAGGAGUAAAAGGCUACGGCUCAACCGUAGUAAGCUCUUGAAACUGGAGGACUUGGGUGCAGGAGAGGAGAGUGGAAUUCCUAGUGUAGCGGUGGAAUGCGUAGAUAUUAGGAGGAACACCAGUAGCGAAGGCGGCUCUCUGGACUGUAACUGACGCUGAGGCACGAAAGCGUGGGGAGCAAACA